rnacentral:rRNA from 1 species
CCUACGGGAGGCAGCAGUGAGGAAUAUUGGUCAAUGGACGAGAGUCUGAACCAGCCAAGUAGCGUGAAGGAUGACUGCCCUAUGGGUUGUAAACUUCUUUUAUAUGGGAAUAAAAUGUUCCACGUGUGGGAUUUUGUAUGUACCAUAUGAAUAAGGAUCGGCUAACUCCGUCCCAGCAGCCGCGGUAAUACGGAGGAUCCGAGCGUUAGCCGGAUUUAUUGGGUUUAAAGGGAGCGUAGGUGGAUUGUUAGGUCAGUUGUGAAAGUUUGCGGUUCAACCGUAAAAUUGCAGUUGAAACUGGCAGUCUUGAGUACAGUAGAGGUGGGCGGAAUUCGUGGUGUAGCGGUGAAAUGCUUAGAUAUCACGAAGAACUCCGAUUGCGAAGGCAGUUCACUGGACUGCAACUGACACUGAGGCUCGAAAGUGUGGGUAUCAAACAGGAUUAGAUACCCGGGUAGUC